UCCAGCGAAGCUAGAACAACUCAGAGCUCCAAGCUCCAAGCGCUCCAGCAGACAGACCCUAGUCUCCACCGGUUACAACUCCGACCACCGAAGUAGAUAAGAACCCAGCAGCCAAAAAGGAACUCCAUUUCCUGCGAAGUUUGAGGUUUCGCUUUCAAAUCUAACCAAAAUUGAUGUCAUUUUACUUCGUUUUGUUGUUCUUGCUGCUGCGCUUAGUUGUUUUUAGAUGGUUUAAUUUUUUCCGUUUUAGAUUUGGCCGGAAGGGUUCAAACUCCCCCCAAUGUUAUUUCCAUUUGCGUUUCUCUUUUUGACAAAUUUUGUUUUCUUUAACCAGCC
rnacentral:lncRNA from 1 species